GCGACCCCAGGAUGGGCGAGAU
rnacentral:rRNA from 1 species